GUCUCAAAUUCCAAUGUACACAGCUGCACAAAUUUUUAAAAAAUUGAAAAAAUUUAAACAGAACCGUAGAUAACAUUGAGAUUGAAAUCAACUGAUUAUCAAGGUUGGAAACUAGCAACUCAGAAACAUAACUUCAUAGAGGACAUGAGAAUUCAAACUUACUUAGGAUUGAAAUUGAAAGUCUUUUCAUGUGAAUGGCAUCUUUGGCUUACUCAUGGAAAUAUUAUGAUUUAUAAUCAUUUGCAAGCCAAAACCAUCAAGUUAUUUCCAAUAUACUGAGUUUUGCUAUAUCUUCUUUACAAAUCUACUAAGCUACAGGACAGACAAUUAUAAGCCAGGACUUUCAAAAAGAAAGCUUUCGAUUAGGUGACCACAGUCAAUUUUGUAGUCUCUUAAAAAAUUCAGUCCUCCAAAAUGAUACAAAAAAAUCAAGAACAAGCUAAUACCAAGUUCUAGACCUAAGCUCACACCAUUAACAGAAGGGGGAAAGAAGCAAGCUAGUAACAUUCCAGCAUUUCAAAUUUGACAUCCAAGAAGAUUAAUUGACCACUUAUAUUAUGCUCAAAUAACAAUAUAAGUACCUAAGCUAAAAGAAAAGUUAUGUUUGCAGUUGGAAUGCAACUCUUAAGGCCAUAUUUCCUAAGGAGCAUAGGAAAAUAUAUAAAAGAGAACUUGGGCUCAUUUUCCCUGUACAGAUUGCUUAUAAAUCGUUAGCAAAAGUACCUACCAUUAUUCCAGGAGCAAGGUAGGAUGUUUAAUUGACAAGUCAGCACAAUUUAAAUGGAAAAAAAGACAAAUUCUCGAUGCUCUCCCCACUGGAAAUCAGUUAAUGGGUUUAACAAUCAAAGGGGAGAAAUUGAGAAAGAUUACAAUCACGUACAUAAAGAGUUACUCCUAUUAACAUUAUGGAAAGGAAAAAAAUAUAGAGCCAAAUGGAUUAUAGAGAUGAGGAAGUGAGUUUCUUCAUGCAGCUUCUCUGUCCUUAUAAUGGCCCAACAACUGCACUUUUCUCCCAUAACGUGUAAAUGUUUGGCAAGGACCAUGGUUUUAAAUAAUGUAACAGCUGUUAUUUAAAGGUUUUUUAGCCUCCCUUUACCGUUACACCCAUUAUUUAAAGGCAACAUAAAAUAUGCACCCGUAAUGGCCGCAACGGCCUUUACAUAACGGUAAUGGCCGUUAUUUACCAUUAAGUACCAUUUCAUCACUGUUUUUUAUUUUAUUUUAUUUUAU
rnacentral:misc_RNA from 1 species